rnacentral:lncRNA from 1 species
UUGUUUGAUUUAAUGAACAUCUCCUCUUUUAAAAUUUUUGAUAGAAAAAAAAAUGUUGUAAAUGAUAAGAUCUAAUUUUAUUUUUGGGUCAAAAAAGGAGUGCUCCUUCUAUAUCAAUGGAUUGUUUGAAAAUGACUCAAACAAUUAUAUCAAUUAUCAAGUAUGGCCAAGGAUAUACAAAAGUAACAUCCUUGUUUCCUUGUCUGUAAAUUUAUUUGUAUUAAAGGAGUUUGUUAAUAAAAGUAAGAUAUUUAAAUUAAGUAAAUAUGCUGUAAAAACUGACUGUCUCAGUAACUCCAAAGUUUUUGGCUAGCUUUCAGUAAUUAAUUCGAGACAAAGUUAUGAAGUACAUGCCGAAUCUGAAUAAAUUGGGUGGGGGUUAUUUUAGUAAAUUCAUAAAUAUUUGCCAUAGUUUUUGUGUAUCGUGUGGCCUCAAAGCGUGUUUUGGGUGGGGUUUGACAUGAGCCAAACACGUGACUUGGUCUUUGCUGCCUUGAAGUUUGGGCAAAACUAAAACCUAACAAAGAGGAUCCCACACAAGAGAGAAAAUAUAAAUAUCAAAGAAUUAUAAUGAAUAAAAACAAAUCGGCAGUUGAAAAAGGGAGUGCCCAUAUAAAAUCUGCAUGAGUACGUAUUAUUUUUAUUUAUAUAUUCGCGGCGGUUUUACGUUG